UCACACCGAUCGACCUUGUCGAUGUGA
rnacentral:sRNA from 1 species